AGUUUCCAGAAGGCUGGUAAUGAUCGUUAGAAUUCAAAGAGGCCUUAAAAAGAGAUAGAUGUAAAACUAAAACAAAAACACUGAGCUUUAUCUUACAUGUGUGAGCCCUGGAUUGAAUCCCCAGCAUUAAAA